UGAUAAACUCAGCUUCCAAAUCAGACUUCUCAAGUGUAAAAGGAACAUUCAUCAAUGACCUUACAGAUUUUUCAACUGGGCACCUGUAGAACCCAUUGCUCUCAUCAAUAGCUUUGUAUAUCAAUUCUGCUUUCUUCUUGUUCUUCUUUUGGACCUCCGUUAAUCCACCCUGUGCCAAAAGAUCCUCAAAGACCAAACCACACAUGUAAAUGCCAAAACAUGGAGGGGUGUUGUAGAGUGAAUUGUUCUCUGCCUGGAUCUUGUAGUCCAACAACAACGGGAGUGUUCCCCGGGCCUUUCCAAACCGGGUUUUUUUUAUUUUCCAAAAU
rnacentral:misc_RNA from 1 species